rnacentral:rRNA from 1 species
GACGAACGCUGGCGGCGUGCUUAACACAUGCAAGUCGAACGGAAAGGCCCUGCUUUUGUGGGGUGCUCGAGUGGCGAACGGGUGAGUAACACGUGAGUAACCUGCCCUUGACUUUGGGAUAACUUCAGGAAACUGGGGCUAAUACCGGAUAGGAUCUCCUGCUGCAUGGUGGGGGUUGGAUAGUUUCGGCGGUUGGGGAUGGACUCGCGGCUUAUCAGCUUGUUGGUGGGGUAGUGGCUUACCAAGGCUUUGACGGGUAGCCGGCCUGAGAGGGUGACCGGCGACAUUGGGACUGAGAUACGGACCAGACUCCAACGGGAGGCAGCAGGGGGGAAUAUUGCACAAUGGGCGGAAGCCUGAUGCAGCAACGCCGCGUGCGGGAUGACGGCCUUCGGGUUGUAAACCGAUUUCGCCUGUGACGAAGCGUGAGUGACGGUAAUGGGUAAAGAAGCACCGGCUAACUACGUG